AGUGAACGCUGGCGGUAGGCCUAACACAUGCAAGUCGAACGGCAGCACAGUAAGAGCUUGCUCUUACGGGUGGCGAGUGGCGGACGGGUGAGGAAUACAUCGGAAUCUACUUUUUCGUGGGGGAUAACGUAGGGAAACUUACGCUAAUACCGCAUACGACCUACGGGUGAAAGCAGGGGAUCUUCGGACCUUGCGCGAUUGAAUGAGCCGAUGUCGGAUUAGCUAGUUGGCGGGGUAAAGGCCCACCAAGGCGACGAUCCGUAGCUGGUCUGAGAGGAUGAUCAGCCACACUGGAACUGAGACACGGUCCAGACUCCUACGGGAGGCAGCAGUGGGGAAUAUUGGACAAAGGGCGCAAGCCUGAUCCAGCCAUACCGCGUGGGUGAAGAAGGCAUUCGGGUUGUAAAGCCCUUUUGUUGGGAAAGAAAAGCAGCAGGUUAAUACCCCGCUGUUCUGACGGUACCCAAAGAAUAAGCACCGGCUAACUUCGUG
rnacentral:rRNA from 1 species